rnacentral:rRNA from 1 species
GUACACAAAAAUGCACAUGCUGUGAGCUCGAUGAGUAGGGCGGGACACGUGGUAUCCUGUCUGAAUAUGGGGGGACCAUCCUCCAAGGCUAAAUACUCCUGACUGACCGAUAGUGAACCAGUACCGUGAGGGAAAGGCGAAAAGAACCCCGGCGAGGGGAGUGAAAAAGAACCUGAAACCGUGUACGUACAAGCAGUGGGAGCACGCUUAGGCGUGUGACUGCGUACCUUUUGUAUAAUGGGUCAGCGACUUAUAUUCUGUAGCAAGGUUAACCGAAUAGGGGAGCCGAAGGGAAACCGAGUCUUAACUGGGCGUUAAGUUGCAGGGUAUAGACCCGAAACCCGGUGAUCUAGCCAUGGGCAGGUUGAAGGUUGGGUAACACUAACUGGAGGACCGAACCGACUAAUGUUGAAAAAUUAGCGGAUGACUUGUGGCUGGGGGUGAAAGGCCAAUCAAACCGGGAGAUAGCUGGUUCUCCCCGAAAGCUAUUUAGGUAGCGCCUCGUGAAUUCAUCUCCGGGGGUAGAGCACUGUUUCGGCAAGGGGGUCAUCCCGACUUACCAACCCGAUGCAAACUGCGAAUACCGGAGAAUGUUAUCACGGGAGACACACGGCGGGUGCUAACGUCCGUCGUGAAGAGGGAAACAACCCAGACCGCCAGCUAAGGUCCCAAAGUCAUGGUUAAGUGGGAAACGAUGUGGGAAGGCCCAGACAGCCAGGAUGUUGGCUUAGAAGCAGCCAUCAUUUAAAGAAAGCGUAAUAGCUCACUGGUCGAGUCGGCCUGCGCGGAAGAUGUAACGGGGCUAAACCAUGCACCGAAGCUGCGGCAGCGACACUAUGUGUUGUUGGGUAGGGGAGCGUUCUGUAAGCCUGUGAAGGUGUACUGUG